AUUGAACGCUGGCGGCAUGCCUUACACAUGCAAGUCGAACGGUAACGCGGGGCAACCUGGCGACGAGUGGCGAACGGGUGAGUAAUGCAUCGGAACGUGCCCAGUUGUGGGGGAUAACUGCUCGAAAGAGCAGCUAAUACCGCAUACGACCUGAGGGUGAAAGCGGGGGAUCGCAAGACCUCGCGCAAUUGGAGCGGCCGAUGUCGGAUUAGCUAGUUGGUGGGGUAAAGGCCCACCAAGGCGACGAUCCGUAGCUGGUCUGAGAGGACGACCAGCCACACUGGGACUGAGACACGGCCCAGACUCCUACGGGAGGCAGCAGUGGGGAAUUUUGGACAAUGGACGCAAGUCUGAUCCAGCCAUGCCACGUGCGGGAAGAAGGCCUUCGGGUUGUAAACCGCUUUUGUCAGGGAAGAAAUCUUCUGGGUUAAUACCUCGGGAGGAUGACGGUACCUGAAGAAUAAGCACCGGCUAACUACGUGCCAGCAGCCGCAGUAACAC
rnacentral:rRNA from 1 species